GGUGAACGCUGGCGGCAUGCCUUACACAUGCAAGUCGAACGGCAGCACGGGAGCAAUCCUGGUGGCGAGUGGCGAACGGGUGAGUAAAGUAUCGGAACGUGCCCAGUCGUGGGGGAUAACGUAGCGAAAGUUACGCUAAUACCGCAUACGAUCUAUGGAUGAAAGCGGGGGAUCGCAAGACCUCGCGCGAUUGGAGCGGCCGAUAUCGGAUUAGGUAGUUGGUGGGGUAAAGGCCCCCCAAGCCGACGAUCUGUAGCUGGUCUGAGAGGACGACCAGCCACACUGGGACUGAGACACGGCCCAGACUCCUACGGGAGGCGGCAGUGGGGAAUUUUGGACAAUGGGCGAAAGCCUGAUCCAGCCAUGCCGCGUGCAGGAUGAAGGCCUUCGGGUUGUAAACUGCUUUUGUACGGAACGAAAAGGACUGCCCUAAUACGGUGGUCCCAUGACGGUACCGUAAGAAUAAGCACCGGCUAACUACGUGCCAGCAGCCGCAGUAA
rnacentral:rRNA from 1 species